GUGCUGUCUCACAUAAUAAGCCUCUGUGACUUCCUGCCCCACACCACUUUUUGAUGCUCUUGAUUUAGAAACCAGAGCUGCUUCAUCAGUGCCAGCUCCACACUGUGGUUGGGCUCAGGAAAAGAAUCACAUUGACGGAUUAGUGCAACAACCCUCCCAACCAUGGAAGGGUGCAUCUUACAAGAAAACCCAUAGGUGACUGAUCAGCCAGACUGGCCAUCCCUCACCCACAGUGAGAAUGACGUGCUGUCUGCUGAGUGACGUUUCUCAUCUGGGAUAUUCCUGCACAUCUGGACACAUUCCACAGACUGUCUCAAGAGAGAGGAGAGAGAGUUUCAAAGGAUUCAUUGGCUUUCUAAUGGCAAACAUCAAACAGAAUGGGUGGUGUUUCACAAACAAACUACGUAAUGGGGAAAGGGAAGUAGAAUCUUCAGCGAUGGCCACCACAGCAGCAGUAUGUACAGUAAUUUAUAUGGUGGAUUCAUCUGGAGGUUAUGCUACAGAACAAGCAAUGCAAGAAAGCAAAGGAAACACAAACCCUUUUUUAACCAGUGCUCUGUAUUUUCAGUUAUAGUUGGCAGAGUUUAUUACUUUUUAAGGCACUGAACAUAACUAUAUUAAACCCAUGAAGAUGUGUGGA